rnacentral:rRNA from 1 species
UACGGGGGGAGCAAGCGUUGUUCGGAUUUACUGGGCGUAAAGGGCGCGUAGGCGGCCACCGCAAGUCGAUUGUGAAAUCUCCGGGCUUAACUCGGAACGGUCAAGUGAUACUGUCGGACUAGAGUACAGAAGGGGGCAACUGGAAUUCUCGGUGUAGCGGUGAAAUGCGUAGAUAUCUGGAGGAACACCGGUGGCGAAGGCGGCAUCCUGGACCAACACUGACGCUGAGGAGCGAAAGCCAGGGGAGCAAACGGG